ACAAGCAUCUUCACUUCUUCAGCAUGAUCAACACCAGUGCAGCAACCCCUAGCAGAACCACAACAACAACCAGCAUCUUAAUGAGCAUCACCAGCUCUUUCCAAGCAUCAUCAGUGCAGCAGCUUGCUGCCUGCUCAUCAGAUUGCCACUGUCAUUCUUCAAAACCUUCUUACCCGAGCUAACAUAUCCAUUCAUAUAGAACAGCUCUUGUGCUUUAAGAAGUUCCUCCCUGCGUUCCUCAGCCACACCAAUAGCAUCAACAGCCGCUUCGCCGCUGAGAUAAUGCUUGUCAACAAGGAACUUGACAUACUCCAACUC
rnacentral:lncRNA from 1 species